rnacentral:lncRNA from 1 species
GCGGAAAAAGGCCACAAAAACGGGUGGGCUAUAGCCUUGGGGGGUGGGGCUGGCCAACCUCGUUUGCCAGACUCGGAAUGCCGCGAGACUUUGCGAGGGGCCUCCGUGUGCCAAAAAUAGGCCGCGGGCAAAGCCGCGCCCAAAAAUAACCGCCCGAAGACCGGGGCGCCAAGUUCGUCCAGCGGAAAAAGGCCACAAAAACGGGUGGGCUAUAGUCUUGGGGGGUGGGGCUGGCCCACUUCUUCCGCCGGACUCGGAAUGCCGUGAGACUUUGCGACGGGGCCUCCGUGUGCCAAAAAUAGGCCGCGGGCAAAGCCGCGCCCAAAAAUAACCGCCCGAAGACCGGGGCGCCAAGUUCGUCCAGCGGAAAAAGGCCACAAAAACGGGUGGGCUAUAGUCUUGGGGGGUGGGGCUGGCCCACUUCUUCCGCCGGACUCGGAAUGCCGUGAGACUUUGCGACGGGCCUCCGUGUGCCAAACAUAGGGCGCGGACAAAGCCGCGCCCAAAAAUAACCGCCCAAAGGCCGCGGCCCCUAUUUCGUCCAGCGCUACUCGGAAUGCCGCGAGACUUUACGAGGGGCCUCCGUGUGCCAAAUAUAGGCCGCGGGGAAAGCCGCGCCCAAAAAUAACCGCCCGAAGACCGGGGCGCCAAGUUCGUCCAGCGGAAAAAGGCCACAAAAACGGGUGGGCUAUAUGCUUGGGGGGUGGGGCUGGCCCACUUCGUCCGCCAGACUCGGAAUGCCGUGAGACUUUGCGAGGGGCCUCCGUGUGCCAAACAUAGGGCGCGAGCAAAGCCGCGCCCAAAAAUAACCGCCCGAAGGCCGGGGCGCCAAGUUCGUCCAGCGCAAAAAUGCCACAAAAACGGGUGGGCUAUAGCCUUGGGGGGUGGGGCUGGCUAACCUCGUUUGCCGGACUCGGAAUGCCGCGAGACUUUGCGAGGGGCCUCCGUGUGCCAAAAAUAGGCCGCGGGCAAAGCCGCAUCCAAAAAUAAGCGUCCGAAGACCGGGGCGCCAAGUUCGUCCAGCGGAAAAAGGCCACAAAAACGGGUGGGCUAUAGUCUUGGGGGGUGGGGCUGGCCCACUUCAUCCGCCAGAUUCGGAAUGCCGCGAGACUUUGCGAGGGCCCUCCGUGUGCCAAAAAUAGGCCGCGGGCAAAGCCGCGCCCAAAAAUAACCCCCCGAAGACCGGGGCACCAAGUUCGUCCAGCGGAAAAAGGCCACAAAAACGGGUCGGCUAUAGCCUUGGGGGGUGGGGCUGGCCAACUUCGUCCACCGGACUCGGAAUGCCGCGAGACUUUGCGAGGAGCCUCCGUGUGCCAAACAUAGGCUGCGGGAAAAGCUGUGACAAAAAAUAACCGCCCGAAGGCCGGGACGCCAAGUUCGUCCAGCGCAAAAAUGCCACAAAAACGGGUGGGCUAUAGCCUUGGGGGGUGGGGCUGGCCAACUUCGUCCGCCGGACUCGGAAUGCCGGGAGACUUUGCGAGGGGCCUCCGUGUGCCAAAAAUAGGCCGCGGGCAAAGCCGCGCCCAAAAAUAACCGCUCGAAGGCCGGGGCGCCAAGUUCGUCCAGCGGAAAAAGGCCACAAAAACGGGUGGGCUAUAGCCUUGGGGGGUGGGGCUGGCCAACCUCGUUUGCCAGACUCGGAAUGCCGCGAGACUUUGCGAGGGGCCUCCGUGUGCCAAAAAUAGGCCGCGGGCAAAGCCGCGCCCAAAAAUAACCGCCCGAAGACCGGGGCGCCAAGUUCGUCCAGCGGAAAAAGGCCACAAAAACGGGUGGGCUA